UAAUAUAUCGGAACGUGCCCUGGAGUGGGGGAUAACGUAGCGAAAGUUACGCUAAUACCGCAUACGAUCUACGGAUGAAAGUGGGGGAUUCGCAAGGACCUCAUGCUCGUGGAGCGGCCGAUAUCUGAUUAGCUAGUUGGUAGGGUAAAAGCCUACCAAGGCAUCGAUCAGUAGCUGGUUUGAGAGAACGACCAGCCACACUGGGACUGAGACACGGCCCAG
rnacentral:rRNA from 1 species